rnacentral:tRNA from 1 species
GGAUUGUAGUUCAGUGGUAGAGCACUUGCCUCACAUGCAUGAGGCACUGGGUUUGAUUCUCAGCACCA